rnacentral:rRNA from 1 species
ACACGUAUGAAGGACAAGCUGAAAGACUUUUCUCAAUGAUGUAAGUGGUGGUGCAUGGUCGUUCUUAGUUCGUGGAUUGAUUUGUCUGGUCUAUUCCGAUAACGAGCGAGACCCCGGCGUUCCUAAUAGGGGUGGCAGCCCGGCUCGCCCACGCAAGUGGGCUUGCUAGCAGCCGCCUGAGAUAGCUUCUUAGACGUAUCAGAGCCGAUAAGGUUCUUGAAAUGGGUUAAUAACAGGUCAGUCAUGCCCUUAGAUGUUCUGGGCCGCACGCGCGUUACAAUGGUAUACAGUAGAUAGUGCUCUAGUGGCGUUUCCGCGGCCGACGGGCUGCGGUAACCCUUAAUCUCUCCCUUGACUGGGAUAGACUAUUGCAAUUAUUGGUCUCUAACGAGGAAUUUUUAGUAGUCACAGGUCAUUAACCUGUGACGA